rnacentral:lncRNA from 1 species
ACAAAACAAAAGCUGAGUUGUUAGGAAUUGGAAUACAAAAAAGUAGGCUGCUGUAGAAAUUAUAUAUAAACGCCAACAGAAAACGGACCGGGGGGGGGGGGGAAGAAAUUGAAGGAUAAAAAGCGCAGUUUGUGGAGAAAAGUGGCAGAAAUUGAGAGCGAUUUCGGCUGAUUUGGUGAGUUGUUUUGGAGUAAAAAAUUUCAGUUAGUUGCUGCAAAUAAAGUCAGCAGUUGGCUGGAGAAAAACAUAGAAGAAAAGCGCUGAAAAAUAUAUACAAAUUGGCGGCUGAUUACAUGAAUUAAUUUGGAACCGACGUGGAUUGAGGGGGUGGCUUUGGAAGGAAUUUGGAAAUCAUUCAUGUUCCUUCAGUUACUCGGUGAUGUUGUUCCAACUUUAUUUAUUUAAUUUCGACAACAUGUGUGGCUAAUUUUUCUAGUGCUAGGAUGUGAUGAACCCUUGUUAUGAAGUUGUUAGUUCAAAUAGAUUAAAUUGACGUUAAAUUCGCUUAAUUGUUUGAGUGUUUAUUAUGGUUUAACUUGUUUUUCAAUUACUUUGCCAAUAAUUGAAUUGUUUGUAAAUUUUAUUGUUAUCGAGAGAGAUAAUAGGAUCGUUAGCUCGUAAUUAUAAACGUUGUGAGGUUCGAUAGAGGAUAGAGAUAUACCUCUAUGCUUCACACGGUUAUUAAAGAUGUUCUAGCUCGUUAAUGCCUUUUUGCACGUUCGUAUUUUUCAUAGAGAUAUAGGAAACACACAUGUAGGACUAGAUUUAAUUGCUAUCGAGAGACUUUUAAAUAACAUAGGAACAUUAACCAACAAGCAUGAUUUCAAAUUGUCAAUUUAAACUGUCGAAUUAAAAUGGAGUAGCAAGGAGGAUUCCACAUCUUAACAAUACUUCUCGCAAAUUUGAUAAACUUUUACUUUGCUUUCUAUUUAAUUGAUAGAUUUAAUAGUGUUAGUUACAACUCGACCUUGUUAUUCGAUUAAGGGAAUUAUUAGCUUUAACUCGAUCAAACACAUAGUUCUCGUGGGUUCGACACUCUACACACUACUUUAUUACUUGUUCAGGAUUUCGUUCCCUUGCGGGUAAUCAAAAGACCAAUGAUGAAAUCCAAAUAUAAUAACUAGAAAAAUAUAAAUGUAGUGAGAUUGUGAGAAUUGAAAAUUGGAUGAAUUGAAAUUGUAACUGGAUAAAUUGUAAAAAAUGAAUCGAUGUUGUAUAUUUUGCAGCACAAGAUAGUAAAAACUUGAUAAUUGAUAUAAUAAAAGAGAGUUGAGAAAUGAGAAGUAGUGAUUGAGAGGAGAUAAUUGAUAUAAUGAUAUGAAAAAAAAAAAAAAGGAGAGUUAAGGGGUAUUUAUAGUAGAAGGGAAAAAAAAAAUUCUAAAAAAAAUUUCAGUGACCAAACGGUCACUGGAAAAUUGACUGUUUUGGUCACUAUAUUCACGAGCCAACGAGCGGCUCGUCUUGAAGCUCGGCUCGCCUUCCGACGAGGCCCGCUUGGCUCUUGCUCAGGCUCAUGAUUUUAUGAGCUUGAGCUGCCCACAAGCUCUCUUUCGAUGAGCCGACGAGCGGUUCAGCCAUUUUGACAUCCCUACCCGCUCUCCAUGUGUGUGUGCGGUCAUCCACCCAGGUCUUAUAGCAUAACAAUAUACAAAUAGAGUGGUUUAUAUUAUUAAACUUGAAUUCUUCAAUUUCGAAAGGUAAGUAAAACCAACCUGAUUGGAACUAAUAAUAAGCUAUGUUUUUAAAUUAAAUGAAGGUAAUUGCAGUAAAUUGAACAGGAGAAUUUGGGAAUUUGAUUAAUGUGAAAAGAUUAAGCUUUAGUGUUGGCUAUUUAAUUAUAAGUAACCUAAUUAUUAAGUUACUUAAUAUGAUUAGUUGUUAAUCUAGACAUUAUAUUAUAUUUCAUGCUGUAACGAAGAGAUGAAGAUAGCUUAUCAAUCGAAUUAAUGGUCAUGUAUAUAGGCUUGUGAGUGGAAAAUUUUAAAUAUUUUCAGAUAUUGAUAAUUAAUAAUAUCAUUAUGUUACGUGCGAUUAUGUGAAUUAGUUGUUCAACUCCUUGAUUAUUAUGAAAUGUUAUUGUAUUAUGAUAUUUUUGGAAAUACAAAGAUGGUAAAGUGAUUACAUAUGAAAUGGAAUGCAAGACACAUAUUUCUUCUAACUCGCCGAGGGAUUUUGACCAUGUUCUAUGCUAUGCAGAGGGCUCUUGAUUAUGGAUUGAAGAGGCUUGACCGUAUACAUAUAGUACAUUGAAAGACAUUGGUCGUAUUCUAGAAUUGUUUAUUAGAUGUCUUUGAGAUCCUCUUUUCUUCAUGGAAGCGGCCUGCGGUCUGUGUCGAAAAUGCUUAGCUUGCAGGGUAGUCUACAUGCGUAUGACCAGAUUAUAUACAUUUUAGUCAGAGGGUAUAUUUUUGUUGAGAUUUUUCAAUAUAUUGUGAUGUCAUGAGAUUAUGUCACUAUGUUAGCACAUGAUUAUAUUAUGACUAUAAGAUGAUAUUUAUCAGUAUUAUGAGAAUGUUUCAUGAUUAUGUGAUGUUACACUAUGAUGAUGGAACUUGAUAUUUGAUAAAUAUGUAUAAAUGAGAAAAUAGAAUUAUUUUUGAAAUUCUCCGAUCAUUAGGUUAUCAACUCAUAUAUUUUUUCAUGAUUUUUCUUAUCGGGUAACAGUUGAGAUUUUGAGUAGCUUUUGGGGUUGAGCCUUUAAUUUUGGAGUCAGAGCCAUACAACCGAGUUAGCUAGUGUGACUCAUUAUAUGUAAUCAUUAUUUUGGGAUACAUGUUCAUUUUUUAAUAUCACUUUUGUAUCACUUGUAGAUAGUUGGAUGGCACACUAUAUAUUUUGCAUCCAUGUGUACAGUGUAAGUAUUAUGCCCUAAGUUCAAUCAACUUUGGAUAUAAAUACUUUUAUAUAUAAUUAAUGCAAUUAAAUGGUAGAUC